UGGGGAAUUUUGGACAAUGGGCGAAAGCCUGAUCCAGCAAUGCCGCGUGUGUGAAGAAGGCCUUCGGGUUGUAAAGCACUUUUGUCCGGAAAGAAAUCCUUGGCUCUAAUACAGUCGGGGGAUGACGGUACCGGAAGAAUAAGCACCGGCUAACUACGUGCCAGCAGCCGCGGUAAUACGUAGGGUGCAAGCGUUAAUCGGAAUUACUGGGCGUAAAGCGUGCGCAGGCGGUUUGCUAAGACCGAUGUGAAAUCCCCGGGCUCAACCUGGGAACUGCAUUGGUGACUGGCAGGCUAGAGUAUGGCAGAGGGGGGCAGAAUUCCACGUGUAGCAGUGAAAUGCGUAGAGAUGUGGAGGAAUACCGAUGGCGAAGGCAGCCCCCUGGGCCAAUACUGACGCUCAUGCACGAAAGCGUGGGGAGCAAACAGGAUUAGAUACCCUGGUAGUCCACGCCCUAAACGAUGUCAACUAGUUGUUGGGGAUUCAUUUCCUUAGUAACGUAGCUAACGCGUGAAGUUGACCGCCUGGGGAGUACGGUCGCAAGAUUAAAACUCAAAGGAAUUGACGGGGUCAUAGCGUUUCCU
rnacentral:rRNA from 1 species